AUGUCAGGACAAGGGAGCUACUCUAAUACAGACAUGUCUUCCCAAGAAUUUAUUGACCAUGUACACAAGAACUGGAGGAGAAGGAUAGAGUCAACAAAAACACCAAUGUAUGCGUUGCAGGAAUAUUGCCAGCAAGUGAAGGGAUGCAUUGAACUAGCAAUGAAGUGUGUGGAGUUGGACAGGAACAAGAGACCCACUGUGGAGGAUAUUAUCCAUAAAUUGAGACAGAUAGAAACUAAUGGUUCAUCGUCACCCAGGGACCAGGCUAGGCUUGCCAAGAUUGGGCAAUGGGGUGGAGUCUGA
rnacentral:rRNA from 1 species